GUAGGAAGGGAGGAAGCUGAAUAAGGCUGGAUGGACCUGGCUGAUUAAGGAGCUCUGAGCCUUCUUGGGGCGAGGAUGAUGGUGAUGAUGAAGAUGGUGGUUGAGUUCUGCCUGGCUGAAUCUGCUUAGGAUUCUAUUGGUCAGUGUUACAAGUGCGCAGCUACAAAUCCAACUCUGGCCCUGAAAUAAGUGGACGUGUGCAGUUGGGGAAGAGAGAGCUUUGUGAACACAGGAUUCCCUACGUGUGAUGUUGACUUUGGACCUCAGGACCUCUGCAGGUGAAGAAAUUCAGCUCAGGAGUGGACUGGUCCAUGGACCCGGCACCUGCUCUGUGCCCUGGCAUGUAGAGCUCCAGCUCUGGGACUGAACUACCUGCAUGACUGUCAGAACAGCCUCCUCAUCCUUCAGCUGACCUCAGCUAAGUCAUUUCCUGGCCCUUUCAUUUUUCUUUAAAGAAUGAUGGUGGGGAUUGGGGGGAAGAAAACCAAGCCCAUGACACACUCCAUCAUCACCCUCCUUGCCUUGACCAUUAAACAUUUCCUAGAGUUGCUUGCGUGGUAA
rnacentral:lncRNA from 1 species